CAUUCCUUUGCAUUUUGCACAUGUUGGACAAUGCCAGGGCCAGCUGGAGUCCACCACGCACUACGCGCUGAGGCAGGGCCUGGACCUGCAGGCGGCACGGAGCGCGGAGGAUCGGCUGCCACCCGCGUUCCGGGCAAGGGAACAGAGUGCAGUGAACAACAAUUUCUCAUUUUCUUCUCAUGACAACAGACACUGUCUACAUAAUGUAGGAGAGUAUUUUGAUUUGGGUUUGGGCCGAAGGAAGGUGGAACCACACAGAAGGCAGCAGAACUCACAGAAUUUCUUCCAGUGGGCUUCAGAACCGGUUAGAAGGAGCGAAGAUGGCUUAACCACUUAUCAGAUAUCAUUUGUGAAAUACAAGAGCACGAUCUCUAGGCAGCACCCAAAGCACUUCUCAGAAAAAUCCUGCACUGACAAAGCCUGUUCCUCAGAAUGAAAACAACAUGCAGCCAAAUAAAUUAUCUUAAUUACAAUACCCUCUUUGUAGCACUGAUUUAUCAUCAUCAGAGCCUUUUCUGGAGAUCUCAACUACUUGUCACUCAAAGGAUGAAAUAAA